rnacentral:tmRNA from 1 species
GGGGGCGUAAGGAUUCGACGGGGAUAGAGAGGUCAAAAGGAGCAGGACGAGUCACCGCAGGCUCGUAAAAAUGCGGUAAAAAAUAACUGCUGACAAUCAGUUAGCACUAGCUGCCUAAUUAGAUAGGCAGAGGUCAUUCCUGCCUUAGCCUGCGAGGCAGGAAAUGGCCUGACCCUAGCAGGUUAACCCUUCUUCCUCUGCUCACAGGGAGAAGGGGAAAUUAAAGGUGAGCUUACUUCUAUAGCCCUGCCUCUGGGGUACUAUAGAAGGAAAUCUAAACAGGGGCUAAUCCUGUAGGAGCCUUUUGGCUUCUCAUUCUCGGACGCGGGUUCGAUUCCCGCCGCCUCCACCA